AUUGAACGCUGGCGGCAGGCCUAACACAUGCAAGUCGAACAAGUGGCGGACGGGUGAGUAAUGUCUGGGAAACUGCCCGAUGGAGGGGGAUAACUACUGGAAACGGUAGCUAAUACCGCAUACUAUCGGAUGUGCCCAGAUGGGAUUAGCUAGUAGGGGGGGUAAAGUCUCACCUAGGCGACGAUCCCUAGCUGGUCUGAGAGGAUGAUCAGCAAAACGGGAACGGAGACAAGGUCCAGACUCCUACGGGAGGCAGCAGUGGGGAAGAUGGCACAAUGGGCGCAAGCCUGAUGCAGACAUGCCGCGGGUAUGAAGAAGGCCUUCGGGUUGUAAAGUACUUUCAGCGGGGAGGCGUUACCCGCAGAAGAAGCACCGGCUAACUCCGUGCCAGCAGCCGCGGUAAUUC
rnacentral:rRNA from 1 species